GAAGCAUUGAUGAACGGGAAGAGGACCUAUUUGAUGCGGAUUCCAUAACUUUUAAGUGCAGAAAGGAAAUGCUGGGAAGUUUGUUGAUUGAAUGCGAGGCGACUGAACGUGUGAGGAAACAGCUUUACAUCGAGGUCGUUCAAAAUAUCAGACGCGAGUACAUGGCUAUUAACAAAAUUGAACUGGCAAAUGUGAAAUGACUGUGUGAGACACGGAUUGACGAAGCUCUCAAGGAGUACAAGCAGGCAUCGCAGGAAUUAUCAGAUGUUAAAUCACAACUUUCAGUGACAACUCAA